ACUUUCACUGCUGACGAUCUCCUGUUUAUGUAGGAUUGUUGCUAUGCUUUGAUUGACUCAUGAUCAAUGAGAAAGUCUCUUUUUGAUCAACAUGUCACAAUUGGAGAUUGACGACUUUACUAGGGCAUAGGGGAAACAUACAUCCAAUGCUAUCACCAUAUUUUCUUCGCUGGCAAAACGCCCAAACUAAACCCAUCAGGCAGGCUCAGUCAGUCUUCUGCUCACUACGCCCCCUGCUACUCUUG
rnacentral:lncRNA from 1 species